rnacentral:misc_RNA from 1 species
UAUUAUUAUUAUUAUUAUUAUGGGAAGAGUUGAAUAUGAUGGCCAUAUAUUGUUGUGUUGCCUGCAAAUUUGUUUGAUGGCCUACAAGGAAUUGUUUCUGCUUUUGUUGGUUGGUUAUUGAAUGGAUUUCCAUGAAAUAGGUAUUCCUCUGUGUGUCACAUGAUUGCUAAAUUGUGUUGGGCAGAAUUAGUUUCUAUCUAACGGCAGUGGCUUGUAGAUCAAGUUGUUAAUAGAUGACUGGAUUAGUAAUUUCUUUACCGCUUAAGUCUUGACAUGCAAACGAGUAGUCAGUUGAUUGCUGAUUUAGUGGCAAAUUAAUGUGUGUCGCUGAUAUGCUGUUGAUUGUGUUUCUGGUGUAUUGUCAUAUCUUAUUGAAUAUUUUUAUUAAUCACAGUUUUGGGGGUUUGGGCAAUAGUGUCAAGUGUGGUUGAGUUAUUUUGAUCUUCUGAUCUGAAUUGCAUCACAACUUGAGUACUUGUAAUUAAUUUUGAAGUCUUACAUGAAUCUGGCUUCUUGAUUGUUUUCAGUGAAUUCUUGUCUGUAUGGCACGAGGAAUAUUUAUGCAUACCAAUUUAUACAAUUUUAGGUAGUAGGAUUGGUGCAGAAAAUUGAAUUAAUAUACGGAACUUGGAUGUUGCUUUCUUCUGUUUAUGAUAACUGAAAGGGGGUUAUAUUUGAUCUUGAGUAACUUUUAUUGGUGUAAUAACUUUUAUAUGAAUGAGAUGUAACUCAUUAAUUCAUAGAGUUUAUUGUUUCACUGUUGUUCUCUCAACUAUGUUCCAUCUUUGUCAGUGUGCAUUAGCACUAAAUAAUGGUUUCUUUCUAAUGUUUGGAGCAGAAAAGGGAGGCCCCACCUGGUGAGAAGCCAGAACCUGUUCGAACCCACCUACGAAAUAUGAUUAUUGUACCUGAGAUGAUUGGAAGCAUC